UACGUAGGGCGCAAGCGUUGUCCGGAAUUAUUGGGCGUAAAGAGCUCGUAGGCGGCUUGUCACGUCGGGUGUGAAAGCCCGGGGCUUAACCCCGGGUCUGCAUUCGAUACGGGCUAGCUAGAGUGUGGUAGGGGAGAUCGGAAUUCCUGGUGUAGCGGUGAAAUGCGCAGAUAUCAGGAGGAACACCGGUGGCGAAGGCGGAUCUCUGGGCCUGUCCUGACGCUGAGGCGCGAAAGCUAGGGGAGCGAACAGG
rnacentral:rRNA from 1 species